rnacentral:rRNA from 1 species
GUGGUAAUGCCGGAUGUUCCACAUGAUCGCAUGUGAUUGUGGGAAAGAUUCUAUCGGCGUGGGAUGGGGUCGCGUCCUAUCAGCUUGUUGGUGAGGUAACGGCUCACCAAGGCUUCGACGGGUAGCCGGCCUGAGAGGGCGACCGGCCACAUUGGGACUGAGAUACGGCCCAGACUCCUACGGGAGGCAGCAGUGGGGAAUAUUGCACAAUGGGCGCAAGCCUGAUGCAGCGACGCCGCGUGAGGGAUGGAGGCCUUCGGGUUGUAAACCUCUUUUGUUUGGGAGCAAGCCUUCGGGUGAGUGUACCUUUCGAAUAAGCGCCGGCUAACUACGUGCCAGCAGCCGCGGUAAUACGUAGGGCGCAAGCGUUAUCCGGAUUUAUUGGGCGUAAAGGGCUCGUAGGCGGCUCGUCGCGUCCGGUGUGAAAGUCCAUCGCUUAACGGUGGAUCUGCGCCGGGUACGGGCGGGCUGGAGUGCGGUAGGGGAGACUGGAAUUCCCGGUGUAACGGUGGAAUGUGUAGAUAUCGGAAA